UGUUGCAUGUUUUCCAGCUUUACAGAAUGUCCCUGUCUACAAAUUGUACUCUAUAUAAACAGAAAUAAAUUGUUUGAAGUUCAUUGUGUAUUAUUACGUUCAGCUGUGUUCGGAGUUGUGAAAAAGGAUUUGUAAAAUGAAUUGUAAUUGGAGCAAGAGACUAUUUAGUACAGCAGUGAUCUUGAUUAUUUUGGGAAAUUUGAUUUUGGCGGCCGGCAAUUAUCGUCGACCAAGCAAGGUUACUACAAACUGUUGUACAUCUGUUUCCAGAACCAAGGUUAACUACAAGAUAACUAGAUUCAGGGAACAAAAUGCCCUUAAACCCUGUGUAAAGGCAGUAAUAUUUUACACUGAUGAGGUUGGCCCAUUCUGUGCAGAUCCAAGAGCCCAUUGGGUGAAAAGCAAAGUGAAUGAGCUCAGGAAAGCAGCUGCGCCUACAAAAACCUAAUUACUGGACAAGCCCUGCAUUCCAAAUUCUACAAGUGCCAACAUUCUGACUGGAUUAUCGGUUUGUUUCUUGUUUCUUGUUUCUUGUUUUUGCUAAUGUUACUACAAAGAUGGCUGGCAACGUUUCUCAAACGUCCACGAAGAACAAGAAGAACUGAACAUUACAAGAAUUGAUCAUUAAAGAUGUGAUUUGAAUAUGUUGUUUUGAACAUGGAAUAAUGGCAUAUUUUUAAAGCAAAAAGGAACAAAAAUACAUCGUUUUAAUUGGAUGAAGUGUAUUUUGUUCACCAUUGGGGAGGGGGAGAUGGGAAAUGCAAAUAUAAAAUGUUACUAAUGGGAAAUGACUGGGGGGAGAGGGGAUUGCAUUUGUAAACAUGCAACAACUUUUAUUCUUACUGUAUAGGUUUCUUAUCUGCUUUAGUUUUAUACAAUCCUGAGAUCUAUACAACUUUGUAAAUAAAA